AUACUUUUCAUUAACAAGAAGUUGCCCAAUAGAUGAAACCACACUCAUUUCCCCUAAGCCUCACACCCCUCCUGCGCCUGGAUGCAGUGUCAGGGUAACAGGCUGCUGCUUCCCACCAGACUCUCACACCACAGAGAUGCCUUCAGCUACUUAAAUCCUUCACACUGAGAAGAGAAAGGACUCUCGCUGGCCCCUCAAGUGUGAAAGUUUGAUUCAGCCCGCGCUGCUAAAAUCUCUAUCAGUUAUAACGUAAAUGCAAUUUAAUGAGAUUUCCUGCAUCACUACUUCAUUUUGUAAAAGAUUAAGCACCUUUCACAUGAGAAGAAUAUUUUGACGAUAUUUGCUGGAGACGAAGAGAAGGAAAGUGACUUGUGUGGGCAUGUCUAUGGUGAAGCUGUAAAGUCGGAGACUAACCAGGGUUGCCGCUUGCAAAGGCCAUUUGUUCUUUCUCCUCAGAGCAGUAAAAGCAGCUGAGAAAAUGGGAGUCCGGCAUUUCUAGAGGGUUGUCAUAGCGACAGGAGUUUGGUACAAUACUGUCUAUUUACUCGUCCCGACUCUUGGUUACCUCCCUCGUGACCCCGUGGAGCCUGAGGCUGAUCUGAGGCCCCUGUUCACAAGGGAAGUCAUGAGGAACGUGUAUGCUGUUUUCAAAGCCUUCCCUACCUCCACCAUUCUCCUUCGACUCGACAGGAAUAAUGUGUUUAUGAUGAGAAACGACUGUCCUGCUUUCUAGAGCUUGACUCUGUUCCAGACCAUUGCUUUUUGUACACAAAGUGCCUCCCGCUAUCAGAGAGUGGAGAUAUUUGCUCUGGACUACUUUAUCAUCUUCAAACCGUCACUGGCAGAAAUGUGUGUGUGAGGUCAGCGCAUUCAUUCCACCAGCACCAGAAGCUAGCGCGUAUCUGCGGCUGUAAAUAAACAAGGGGCACGAUGUUAGAAAAAAAAAUGUUGGGGUUCUGACCUGCGCAAAGUCGACUGGAAUGUUUCCCUAGUAUUUAUCCUCUGCUUUUCCAAGCUUUGUAUAAACAUGAAUUUCCAGAAUUUUUUAAGAACUGACGCUGAUGAAAAAAAUUCAGUCUUCUAAUGAGUUUGUAAAACACAUCAGAUUUAAUUGUUGAAUACUAUAAAAACAACAACAACAACAAUAACAACAACAAUGUGAACAGAAAGAAAAGGUGCAUGUGCGUAUUGAAGCAGCUUCAAAAAGAACUUUUCAUUUUUUUUGUUAUUUUUCAUCAUCAAUACUAGAACAAAGACAUAUUUUAUAUGCAUAUUUAAAGAGUUGAAGUAGACGCUUACACUGCAAGAAGCUUAAAUUCCAGACUUACUCAAAAGAUGAGGAGUGUUGGAUGUAAGAUAUGAAUACCAAAGAUUCUGGAACAGUCCAAGGCCCUGCUGACAUUUUCUUGGUAAAGGAGGAAGAUUGACAGUGAGCAUAGCUCAGUUGUGAGUGUGUGACACUCAGUCACACAGGAUCAGCUGAGCAGAUACAUCAGGGAGGUGACAAGACUUGUAGGAUUGUCACCACAUUUUAGGCAUCCAUUACAUAUCUUGGAUAUUAACUCUUUCUUAGAUAUGAGGAUUGCAAAUAGCUUCUCCCUCCCCCUCGAGUUUCUUGCCAUUCUGUAGAUCAUUCUGGUUGCUAUGCAAAAAGUAUUUUUGCUGCUGUUAUUUUUUAUGAUACAACCCACUUACCUAUUUUGUUGCUUCCAUUACCCAUUCUUAUGAUAUUUUAUUAAAGAGACCAUCACCAAGA